GCCGGCAUAGCUCAGCUGGUAGAGCAACCGCCUUGUAAGCGGUAGGUCGUCCGUUCGAAUCGGACUGCCGGCACCA
rnacentral:tRNA from 1 species